CCUACGGGAGGCAGCAGUGAGGAAUAUUGGUCAAUGGACGCAAGUCUGAACCAGCCAUGCCGCGUGCAGGAAGACGGCCCUAUGAGUUGUAAACUGCUUUUGUACGAGGGUAAACGCAGAUACGCGUAUCUGUCUGAAAGUAUCGUACGAAUAAGGAUCGGCUAACUCCGUGCCAGCAGCCGCGGUAAUACGGAGGAUUCAAGCGUUAUCCGGAUUUAUUGGGUUUAAAGGGUGCGUAGGCGGUCGGAUAAGUUAGAGGUGAAAUCCCGAGGCUCAACGUCGGAAUUGCCUCUGAUACUGUUCGGCUAGAGAGUAAUUGCGGUAGGCGGAAUGUAUGGUGUAGCGGUGAAAUGCUUAGAGAUCAUACAGAACACCGAUUGCGAAGGCAGCUUACCAAGCUACUUCUGACGUUGAGGCACGAAAGCGUGGGGAGCGAACAGGAUUAGAUACCCCGGUAGUC
rnacentral:rRNA from 1 species